GGCUCAGAUUGAACGCUGGCGGCAGGCCUAACACAUGCAAGUCGAACGGUAACAGGAAGCAGCUUGCUGCUUUGCUGACGAGUGGCGGACGGGUGAGUAAUGUCUGGGAAACUGCCCGAUGGAGGGGGAUAACUACUGGAAACGGUAGCUAAUACCGCAUAAUGUCGCAAGACCAAAGAGGGGGACCUUCGGGCCUCUUGCCAUCGGAUGUGCCCAGAUGGGAUUAGCUAGUUGGUGAGGUAACGGCUCACCAAGGCGACGAUCCCUAGCUGGUCUGAGAGGAUGACCAGCCACACUGGAACUGAGACACGGUCCAGACUCCUACGGGAGGCAGCAGUGGGGAAUAUUGCACAAUGGGCGCAAGCCUGAUGCAGCCAUGCCGCGUGUAUGAAGAAGGCCUUCGGGUUGUAAAGUACUUUCAGCGGGGAGGAAGGGGUUAAGGUUAAUAACCUUAGCCAUUGACGUUACCCGCAGAAGAAGCACCGGCUAACUCCGUGCCAGCAGCGGC
rnacentral:rRNA from 1 species